rnacentral:rRNA from 1 species
UUGCGGUUAAAAAGCUCGUAGUUGGAUUUCUGUUGAGAAUGUCCAGUCCGCACAUUGUGCGAGUAUUUGGUACAGUCUUGGCAUCCUCCUGGGGAGCGUUGAGUACUUGAUUGUAUGUUGCGUGAUUCAGGACUUUUACUUUGAGGAAAUUAGAGUGUUCACGGCAGGCGUUUGCCUUGAAUAUGUUAGCAUGGAAUAAUAAUAUAAGACCUCGGUUUUAUUUUGUUGGUUUCUAGAAGCGAGGUAAUGAUUAAUAGGGACAAUUGGGGGUAUUCGAAUUAACGCGUCAGAGGUGGAAUUCUUGGAUUGCGUUACGACGAACUACUGCGAAAGCAUUUACCAAGGAUGUUUUCAUUGACCAAGAACGAAAGUCAGGGGAUCGAAGACGAUUAGAUACCGUCGUAGUCUUGACCAUAAACUAUGCCGACUAGAGAUUGGAGGUUCGCUCUUUUUACGGCUCCUUCAGCAUCUUAUGAGAAAUCAAAGUUUUUGGGUUCCGGGGGGAGUAUGGUCGCAAAGGCUGAAACUUAAAGGAAUNGACGGAAGGGCACCACCACGAGUGGA